UACGGAGGAUCCGAGCGUUAUCCGGAUUUAUUGGGUUUAAAGGGCGCGUAGGCGGACUGGGAAGUCAGCUGUGAAAGUUUACGGCUCAACCGUGAAAUUGCAGUUGAUACUGUUGGGCUGGAGUAUACAUGAGGUGGGCGGAAUUUGUGGUGUAGCGGUGAAAUGCUUAGAUAUCAGGAAGAACUCCAAUUGCGAAGGCAGCUCACUGGGGUAUAACUGACGCUGAUGCACGAAAGUGUGGGGAGCAAACAGG
rnacentral:rRNA from 1 species